GGCUUGCUUGCUUAGGAGUGCUAGCUUCCAGCCGCUGGUCAGCCCUGAAUCCUUGAGGCUUCAACUUUGCAAGGGUUCUACAGACCCAACCUGAAUUCUGCUCCCAAGUGUCUCUUCACCAAACAAUGCAUUCCAUCCCCAUGCCCCAAGUCAAGAACCACUCAAGAGUGGUUCCUUCUCAUUUCCACACUCCAGGCGCCCUCUUCUGCUUAGCCCUUCCAACACUUCCUGGGCCCCUGGCUUUGAUUCCAUAGGUUUCACAGUCAAUCCUCAGGGAUGCUGUAAAGCAAUUAAUAAUCUUAUCUUCAUUUUUACAACUAAGGGAACUAUUUCACAGCAGUUAACUUGUUCUGGGUCACAUGGCCAGUAAGUCACAGAGUCCCACUGCAAUCCUGCUGUUCCAGAUCCGCACCCCGUGCGCCUACCAGAAGAAUCCAUUAGCUCAAAGACUCCGCAGUCUGUUCUCUCUUUUCCAGAACUUCCUGGUUUUCACAGUCUGCUUAGGUUGGUCUUAAUGGCUACUUAACCCUCUUUUAUUAUCAUGGCUUAUAUGUUGAGUCAUUUAUCCAUUCCUUCAUUCACUAUCAGGCUAAUCUUACAUCAUUGUAAUUCAAGGCCAUCUUUUCUCAUUCCUCCAUCAUUUUCCUCACUGAGCCCCUGAUGCAGAUGUGUUGAGACCCAGAAUGUUCACUUUUACCAGGGCUUUGAGCUAGACUCUCUCUUUCUUUUUUUUAAAUUUGUUUAUUUUUAUUUCAGGCUCAUUGGUGUUUUGCUUGCAUGUGUGUCUGAGGGUGUUAGAGCCCCUGGAAUAGGAGUCAUAGACAGCUGUGAGCUGCCAUGUGGGUGCUGGGAAUUGGACCCAGGUCCUCUGGCCGUGCUCUUAACCUCUGAGCCAUCACUCUAGCACCUGACCCUCCGUUUCUUAGAGUAUACUUUUGCCAGGGCAACAGAAAUGGGGCAUGAACGAGGAGGAUAUGACAGUUUACUGUGGUCUGGCAAACUCCCAUUCUGUCUGGUCUUCCAGGAACUGGAUGUCUGGAAGACCCAGCCGGGGUAAUUAGAAACUAACUCUCUCCUGUCUCCUUCGGAGAUGGGGGUCUUAUAUUCCAGGCUGGUCUGGAACUCGCCGUGUAGCUGAAGACUACUUUGGACAAGACUCCCUGUGUUCCUGCUUCUACUUCCUGGGACUUGGGAACAAAAGCAAAACCCACUGCUAGUCUGAAGAAAUCUGACAAGAGUUCAGCAACUUCUCCACAAGGCCUAAUGUUUAGUCCUGGAAUGUGCUCAAAUCUGAGAAGAGAGGCCUGUGGUUGUGCUCACUGGCCAUAUCAUUGGCUCUUGGAACCUGCCAGUAGCAACCCUGAGUUUUUAUUCAGGUGAUAGCACUCCUUCCAUCAGCGAUGAAGCUCUGCAAAGAGUGCCUCAAGACACAUGAUAUUGCCAAGAUAGUUUUGGGAGUGCCCUGGAUGACCGUUAGUCCUCAGAGGCUAAUGAAUAACGCUGCUCAUCUCUGUCAACCUGGCCGUGAAGCCAUGUUAGCUGUGG